rnacentral:lncRNA from 1 species
GCUUCAUGCCGCCAAAAAACUGAGCACGUCACAGAAUGUGUUUUUUUGGAAAAAAAAAAUUGAAAGCGGGAAAAAUCCAUAUAUUAGCCGAGUCAUUGUUUAAGCCGCGAGGUUCAAAGCCUGGGAAAAAAGUUGCGGCUUAAAGUCCGGAAUUUACAGUACCUGAAACUGGGAUAGACCACCUGAACUGGGAUAGACCACCUGAACUGGGAUAGACCACCUGAACUGGGAUAGACUACCUGAACUGGGAUAGACCACCUGAACUGGGAUAGACCACCUGAACUGGGAUAGACUACCUGAACUGGAAUAGACCACCUGAAACUGGAAUAGACCACCUGAAACUGGGAUAGACUACCUGAAACUGGAAUAGACCACCUGAACUGGGAUAGACUACCUGAACUGGAAUAGACCACCUGAAACUGGAAUAGACCACCUGAAACUGGGAUAGACCACCUGAAACUGGGAUAGACUACCUGAAACGGGGAUAGACCACCUGAACUGGAUAGACUACCUGAAAGUGGGAUAGACUACCUGAAACUGGAAUAGAUCACCUGAAACUGGGAUAGACCACCUGAAACUGGGACAAUAAGAAACGCUUGUUUUCCCAUGCAAAACGUUUUGCAACAGUGUGCCCUAAUGAAUGUCCCACCAGUAGGCUACUGUAGUACAUCUCCAUAGACACUGUGAUCAAUAGCCGAGUCCUGCACUUAUGCUCAGCUUGGCAUAAACUGACACUGGCUUUUAGUGCUGGACUCAUUGGACUCAGUUCUGUUAUAUUUUACAAGGUUAUGGUCCUGUGUGGCUCUGUUGGCAAGAGCGUGGUAGUAGACACACCAAAGUUGUCGGUUCAGUUCCUGCAGAUAUCAUAUACACAUGCUAAAAAUGUCUGCUCUCACUGUAAAGACUGGAUAGAAGUGUCUCCUCUCACUGUAAAGACUGGAGAAGAAGUGUCUCCUCUCACUGUAAAGACUGGAUAGAAGUGUCUCCUCUCACUGUAAAGACUGGAUAGAAGUGUAUCCUCUCACUGUAAAGACUGGAUAGAAGUGUCUGCUCUCACUGUAAAGACUGGAGAAGAAGUGUCUGCUCUCACUGUAAAGACUGGAGAAGAAGUGUCUGCUCUCACUGUAAAGACUGGAUAGAAGUGUCUGUUCUCACUGUAAAGACUGGAGAAGAAGUGUCUCCUCUCACUGUAAAGACUGGAUAGAAGUGUCUGCUUUCACUGUAAAGACUGGAUAGAAGUGUCUGUUCUCACUGUAAAGACUGGAGAAGAAGUGUCUGCUCUCACUGUAAAGACUGGAGAAGAAGUGUCUCCUCUCACUGUAAAGACUGGAGAAGAAGUGUCUGCUCUCACUGUAAAGACUGGAUAGAAGUGUCUGCUCUCACUGUAAAGACUGGAUAGAAGUGUCUGUUCUCACUGUAAAGACUGGAUAGAAGUGUCUCCUCACUAUAAAGACUGGAGAAGAAGUGUCUGUUCUCACUGUAAAGACUGGAUAGAAGUGUCUGCUCUCACUGUAAAGACUGGAGAAAAGUGUCUGCUCUCACUGUAUAGACUGGAGAAGAAGUGUCUGCUCUCACUGUAAAGACUGGAGAAGUGUCUGCUCUCACUGUAAAGACUGGAGAAGAAGUGUCUCCUCUCACUGUAAAGACUGGAGAAGUGUCUGCUCUCACUGUAAAGACUGGAGAAGAAGUGUCUCCUCUCACUGUAAAGACUGGAGAAGUGUCUGCUCUCACUGUAAAGACUGAAGAAGUGUCUGCUCUCACUGUAAAGACUGGAGAAGAAGUGUCUCCUCUCACUGUAAAGACUGGAUAGAAGUGUCUGCUCUCACUGUAAAGACUGGAGAAGAAGUGUCUCCUCUCACUGUAAAGACUGGAUAGAAGUACUAUGUUAUGAUUAAAGACCAGCCAUCUUGUAAUCUCAGGCUGUUUAGGUAAAAUCACUGCAGUCCUCUUCAGUAGUGCAAAAAUUACUAAAUUGUCAUACUUGAGGAAAAGUAAAGAUACCUUAAUAGAAAAUUACUCAAGUAAAAGUCACCCAGUAAAAUACUACUUUAGACUAAAGACUAAAAGUAUUUGGUUUUAAAUAUACUUAAGUAUCAAAAGUAAAAGUAAAAGUGUUAAC